rnacentral:rRNA from 1 species
AUGGCUCAGGAUGAACGCUGGCGGCGUGCCUAACACAUGCAAGUCGAACGGGACUGAUUCUACGGAGAUUCGUCGAAGAAGAUGAAAGUUUAGUGGCGGACGGGUGAGUAACGCGUGGGUAACCUGCCUCAUAGAGGGGGACAACAGCUGGAAACGGCUGCUAAUACCGCAUAAGCCCACACUGCCGCAUGGCAGAGGGGGAAAAGAUUUAUCGCUAUGAGAUGGACCCGCGUUUGAUUAGCUUGUUGGCGGUGUAACGGACCACCAAGGCGACGAUCAAUAGCCGGACUGAGAGGUUGAACGGCCACAUUGGGACUGAGACACGGCCCAAACUCCUACGGGAGGCAGCAGUGGGGAAUAUUGCACAAUGGGGGAAACCCUGAUGCAGCGACGCCGCGUGGGUGAAGAAGUUUUUCGGAAUGUAAAGCCCUAUCAGCAGGGAAGAUAAUGACGGUACCUGACUAAGAAGCCCCGGCUAACUACGUGCCAGCCGCAGC